rnacentral:rRNA from 1 species
UUAAACGGUAGGGUAUUGGCCUACCGUGGCAAUGACGGGUAACGGGGAAUUAGGGUUCGAUUCCGGAGAGGGAGCCUGAGAAACGGCUACCACAUCUAAGGAAGGCAGCAGGCGCGCAAAUUACCCAAUCCUAAUACAGGGAGGUAGUGACAAGAAAUAACAAUACAGGACUUUUUGGUUUUGUAAUUGGAAUGAGUUA